rnacentral:rRNA from 1 species
UGCUCGAGCGGCCGCCAGUGUGAUGGAUAUCUGCAGAAUUCGGCUUUAAUCCGACCUAGGCUCAUCUAAUAGCGCGAAGCCCGAAGGUCCCCUGCUUUCUCCCGUAGGACGUAUGCGGUAUUAGCGUUCGUUUCCGAACGUUAUCCCCCACUACCAGGCAGAUUCCUAGGCAUUACUCACCCGUCCGCCGCUCUCAAGAGAAGCAAGCUUCUCUCUACCGCUCGACUUGCAUGUGUUAGGCCUGCCGCCAGCGUUCAAUCUGAGCCAGGAUCAAACUCUAAGCCGAAUUCCAGCACACUG